GACGAACGCUGGCGGCGUGCUUAACACAUGCAAGUCGAACGGAAAGGCCCUGCUUUUGUGGGGUGCUCGAGUGGCGAACGGGUGAGUAACACGUGAGUAACCUGCCCUUGACUUUGGGAUAACUUCAGGAAACUGGGGCUAAUACCGGAUAGGAGCUCCUGCUGCAUGGUGGGGGUUGGAAAGUUUCGGCGGUUGGGGAUGGACUCGCGGCUUAUCAGCUUGUUGGUGGGGUAGUGGCUUACCAAGGCUUUGACGGGUAGCCGGCCUGAGAGGGUGACCGGCCACAUUGGGACGGAGAUACGGCCCAGACUCCUACGGGAGGCAGCGGUGGGGAAUAUUGCACAAUGGGCGGAAGCCUGAUGCAGCAACGCCGCGUGCGGGAUGACGGCCUUCGGGUUGUAAACCGCUUUCGCCUGUGACGAAGCGUGAGUGACGGUAAUGGGUAAAGAAGCACCGGCUAACUACGG
rnacentral:rRNA from 1 species